rnacentral:rRNA from 1 species
GAACGCGAAGAACCUUACCUGGGUUUGACAUGCACAGGACGCUGGUAGAGAUAUCAGUUCCCUUGUGGCCUGUGUGCAGGUGGUGCAUGGCUGUCGUCAGCUCGUGUCGUGAGAUGUUGGGUUAAGUCCCGCAACGAGCGCAACCCUUGUCCUAUGUUGCCAGCGGGUUAUGCCGGGGACUCGUAGGGGACUGCCGGGGUCAACUCGGAGGAAGGUGGGGAUGACGUCAAGUCAUCAUGCCCCUUAUGUCCAGGGCUUCACACAUGCUACAAUGGCCGGUACAAAGGGCUGCGAUGCCGUGAGGUGGAGCGAAUCCUUGUAAAGCCGGUCUCAGUUCGGAUCGGGGUCUGCAACUCGACCCCGUGAAGUCGGAGUCGCUAGUAAUCGCAGAUCAGCAACGCUGCGGUGAAUACGUUCCCGGGUCUUGUACACACC